UGCCAGACUCCUACGGGAGGCAGCAGUGAGGAAUAUUGGUCAAUGGGCGAGAGCCUGAACCAGCCAAGUCGCGUGAGGGAUGACUGCCCUAUGGGUUGUAAACCUCUUUUGUAUGGGGGGAAUAAGCUUUACGAGUAGAGUGAUGACAGUACCAUACGAAUAAGCACCGGCUAACUCCGUGCCAGCAGCCGCGGUAAUACGGGGGGUGCAAGCGUUGUCCGGAAUCAUUGGGCGUAAAGAGUUCGUAGGCGGCACGUAAAGUCUGGUGUUAAAGGCAGAGGCUCAACUUCUGUACGGCACUGGAUACUUGCGAGCUAGAAUGCGGUAGAGGUAAAGGGAAUUCCUGGUGUAGCGGUGAAAUGCUUAGAUAUCAGGAGGAACAUCGGUGGCGUAAGCGCUUUACUGGGCCGUAAUUGACGCUGAGGAACGAAAGCCAGGGUAGCAAAUGGGAUUAGAUACCCUAGUAGUA
rnacentral:rRNA from 1 species